UCCUCCACCUGCUGAGGGCAGAUGAAGUGGAUAUGGGCGUCGAUGGCACCGGCGGUGAGGAUCUUGCCCUCCCCGGCGAUGACCUCGGUGCCCGGACCGAUGACCAGCUGGACGUCGGGCUGGGUGUCGGGGUUGCCGGCCUUGCCGAUGGCGGCGAUGCGCCCUGCCCUGAGGCCCACAUCGGCCUUGACGAUGCCCCACCAGUCGAGGAUCAGGGCAUUGGUGAUGACGGUGUCCAUGACCGCGUCGUCGAGUCGCUGGCUCUGACCCAUGCAAUCGCGGA
rnacentral:sRNA from 1 species